GCUGUCGCGGAAAUUAAAAGUCAUCACACGACGGCUGCAUUGUUUAUCUAACCCGGCACCACAACAAAAGCACGGUGUUUUGUAGUCUCAACCCAGCCCUCUGAGAGAGAGAGCGAGAGAGCGCGCGCUUCUCGCUGUGUCUCCAAACUUACUUACAUGCCUACCUAGACUGCAUUUCUGGGCAUCGUCCACGCGGCGUCAGUGGCGCUCUUUCUAAGUAUGCAGCAUAGGCUUUGACACAGCCAUAUAGCGACGAGUCAGCCAGAAUUCAUUCCUUGAGGCAGUGAGGCACAUUCUGGAGAAUUUUUGUUCUUAAUGAGUGCUGUAUGCCAAUGUCUGCA